rnacentral:rRNA from 1 species
CGAAAGCCUGACGGAGCAAGACCGCGUGGGGGAGGAAGGUUCUUGGAUUGUCAACCCCUUUUCUCAGGGAAGAAGAAAGUGACGGUACCUGAGGAAGAAGCAUCGGCUAACUCCGUGCCAGCAGCCGCGGUAAUACGGAGGAUGCAAGCGUUAUCCGGAAUGAUUGGGCGUAAAGAGUCCGUAGGUGGCCCUUCAAGUCUGCUGUUAAAGAGCGAGGCUUAACUUCGUAAAAGCAGUGGAAACUGGAGAGCUAGAGUGUAGUAGGGGCAGAGGGAAUUCCUGGUGUAGCGGUGAAAUGCGUAGAGAUCAGGAAGAACACCGGUGGCGAAAGCGCUCUGCUGGGCUACAACUGACACUGAGGGACGAAAGCUAGGGGAGCGAAUGGGAUUA